CGACUGGGAUGCGGGAGACCCGAGUUCGAAUCUUGGUAUAGCCUAGUAUUUUUUCAUGAAUAGAUGUCCAAUAGACCUUUUUAAGAUUGCUCGGUGUAAGCACAGCGAAAAGUCGUGCGGCUAGUCGACUAGUGCGCACCAUGGCGGGGGAUAGCCGUAACUAGCUGCAGACUUGGCUUGAUUCUUCGAAUCACCUUGUUGUUCGGCUCUAUGUUACUGUAGUCUGCUAGUGUAUUAAAAGAUAAAAAUGUCCGUUUUCAAGUUUCAGUCGUCUCAAUUCAAUGUCAAAAACACAAAAUAGUUGCAACUUCUUCCAUAAAUCAACGCAAUAGGUUUGACAUACAACACAGAGUGCCAGACUACAGUAACAUAGAGCCGAACAACAAGGUGAUU